rnacentral:rRNA from 1 species
UACGUAGGGCGCAAGCGUUAUCCGGAAUUAUUGGGCGUAAAGAGCUCGUAGGCGGUUUGUCGCGUCUGCCGUGAAAGUCCGGGGCUCAACUCCGGAUCUGAGUGGGUGGCGGGGCAGACUAGAGUGAUGUAGGGGAGACUGGAAUUCCUGGUGUAGCGGUGAAAUGCGCAGAUAUCAGGAGGAACACCGAUGGCGAAGGCAGGUCUCUGGGCAUUAACUGACGCUGAGGAGCGAAAGCAUGGGGAGCGAACAGG